UUGACUUAUUUAAAAUCAUACUCAGAGAGGCCAAUGAUUGCAAUGGUUUGUUUGUGCUCCUCCGGCGGGCGCCCCCGGGGGGGGGCCGGAGAGGCGACCCCGAGGGGACGCCUGACCGCCGAAGCAACGAGAUGAGGUAGCGUUCGCGAUGGUUUAAGGGAGUUUUGCAACUCUUUAAUGAUCCCUCCGCUGGUUCACCAACGGAGA
rnacentral:misc_RNA from 1 species